UGAGCAGUUUGGACAUGGUCCUGGGCAACUGGUUCUAGGUGUCCUUGCCUGAGCAGGGCAAUAGGACAAGAUUAUUUCCGGCCUCAGAUGGGACGAAUUCAAGAGCAGCUUUGCGCUCCUGGAGAUGUUUCAGCAAAGGUCUUUCUAAGAGCAGGGGAGUGGUGCUGGGAGGCAGAAGACUCCUCUGGUCAGGAUGGGGGCACUCAGAAGUAGGUUUAGCAUCUAGCUUUGCUAGAGAGGUCCGAAGUGACCCUGAGACAAGGACUUAUUCCCACAGUGUCCGCUCACCUGCAAAACCUCAGUCAUUACACCUGGUUAGACUACAGCCAUGACAACCUGUGUGGCCUCAGCAUUUCCUUUUAAGAAUCAGCCAGUCUUCUACAAAGAAAUCAAAGACAAGAUGCACACAGCUGCUUAGUUUGAUGGCAAUCAGACACUUUGCCCAGCUCAGGGCUGUGUGUCUAACCCUUUCUAGGAGCCGGGGAAAUAUUCUCAACUUAAAAUAUUCUGUUUAAAGUUGCCUUUAGAACACGAACAAGAGUCUCCACUGCAUUUACUAUGGGGAAAGGUGCUGGAAAGAAACCAUUGGAGACAGAAGUCCCGCCUGUACAGAAGAGAUGUCACCUCCUCCUGGUUGCCUCGUUAAUGUGUGACAUUGGUAUCCUGCCCCUGGGAACAAGAGGUCAAAUUAGUCUACGCUAGCCAGCAUUAAACCAGUAAUGCCAGAGAUGUGCUAGCAUUUUGGAGAUGCCACUGGAUAGCCUUAUAGCCUUUCCACUCCCCAGUGAGAAUACUGAAAGAACAUAAUUGAUACAAGCAUGUGUCCACAGUCAUCUCUGCAGCUCGUAUGAAAGGAGCACUGCAAGCGUGGAGGCACAAGCACCCCAGCUGGGAGCUGUACCACGGAGGCUGAAACGUGGAGGUGAGAAAGCAGAAGCAAUUCAGACAGCUGGGUUCAUUGAAUCAGCUUGGAAUAGAGAGAGACAUGGCUGGACAUGGUCCUGGUGGGGACCUUCAGCUCCCUGCUGAGCUGGUAGAGAAACAGAGCUGCUUCUUCAGAAA
rnacentral:lncRNA from 1 species